UACGGGAGGCAGCAGUGGGGAAUAUUGCACAAUGGGCGAAAGCCUGAUGCAGCUAUGCCGCGUGUAUGAAGAAGGCCUUAGGGUUGUAAAGUACUUUCAUCGGGGAGGAAAAACAAAACUAAUAAUUUUAUUUCUUGACGUUACCCGAAAAAGAAGCACCGGCUAACUCCGUGCCAGCAGCCGCGGUAAUACGGAGGGUGCUAGCGUUAAUCAGAAUUACUGGGCGUAAAGAGCACGUAGGUGGUUUUUUAAGUCAGAUGUGAAAUCCCUGGGCUUAACCUAGGAACUGCAUUUUGAAACUGAAAUACUAGAGUAUCGUAGAGGGAGGUAGAAUUCUAGGUGUAGCGGUGAAAUGCGUAGAUAUCUGGAGGAAUACCUGUGGCGAAAGCGGCCUCCUAAACGAAUACUGACACUGAGGUGCGAAAAGCGUGGGGAGCAAAACAGGGAUUAGAUACC
rnacentral:rRNA from 1 species